UGUGGGGCGACGUGUGCGAGCGGGAGCGGCCGGUGGCCGCGGCCCUCCCCGCCCGGCCGGGGUGAUGUCGUUAUGCGGCGGCUCCGGCCCCGCGGUUGCCUCUCGGCUGCGGCCUCGCGCGGCGCGGAUGGCGCGGCGGCCGGAGCUGCUGUGCGGCGCGGCCAUCCUGCUGGGCUGCGCCUUCCUCGUCGCCCUCAAAGUCACCUGCAGGGUGCUGUUACCUAAAGUACAAGUAUUAAAAGAGGAUGAGGCCAGGGAAGAAAUCCAAAGAAAUCAGUCUUCGUGCCGAGCAAAAGAUGUAACAAUGCCAGCGAAGCUUCCAGUGAAUUUUUUCUCCACAAGAUCUCCAGUGAUUGAUCUUUUUCGGGGACAAUUAGACUAUGCAGAUCACCUCCGUCAGGAUUCAGAAAUUGUGCUGUAUUUCUUCUAUGCACCAUGGUGUGGCCAGUCCAUUGCAGCAAGAGAAGAAAUAGAACAUGUGGCCGGCAGAUUGUCAGACCAGGUGCUGUUUGUGGCUGUAAAUUGCUGGUGGAACCAAGGGAAAUGCAGGAAGCAGAAGCAUUUCUUCUAUUUUCCUGUGAUACACCUAUACCAUAGGAGUUUUGGACCAAUUGAAUACAAAGGCCCUAUGAGUGCUGUUUAUAUUGAAAAGUUUGUUCGCCGGGUGAUGACACCACUACUCUACAUCUCGUCUCGAUCAAAAUUACUAGAUUUCCUCUCAAAUUAUGAGCCUGGAGUUCUAGGAUAUUUUGAGUUCAAUGCUUCACCUCAACCACCUGGUUAUUUAACGUUCUUCACUUCAGCAUUACAUUCAUUAAAGAAAGAUUACCUUGGAACAAUUCGCUUUGGAGUGAUCACAGAUAAACGUAUUGCAGAGGAGAUCUCACUGGUGCAGUCAGGCAGCGUCUAUUUGCACAGACAUGUCAACACAUCUCUUAUCUAUCCAAAUGACAUCAUGAACUAUACUGCUGAGAACAUUUGCAAGUGGGCUCUGGAAAAUCGAGAGAUGCUCAUACGCUGGCUGAGACCACAUGGUGGAAAAAGCCUUCUUCUAAACAAUGAGCUGAAGAAAGGACCAGCACUCCUCAUAUUUAUACCUUACAAUCCUUUAGCCGAAAUUCAUCCUCUUUUAGAUGAAAUUACCAAAGUGGCCUUGGAAUACCACAACUGUAAUAAAAGCCAGGCAGCUGAGCCAGAUCUUCAACACUUAGGAGACACUGAUUCACCAGCUUUUGAUUCCUCUGUACCAGAUGCACAUACAAAAUCACCAGAAGCGUUUUCAAUAACCAAGUACCCGUGCUGUAACACGGUGGUGCUUCCCCAGUGGCAUUCAAUAUCUAGAACUCACAAUGUCUGUGAGCUUUGCAUUAACCAGACACUUGGUGUCAAACCAAAUAAAGUCCAUGUGCCACACUGUAACUUUUUAGAGAUAGAAGCAGCUUUGGACUCUUUCUACCUCCAGGAACGUACCUUUUUUCAAGUUCUAUCAAAUACCAUAGAAUGCAGCAAUUUCUUAAGUUUCUAUAGUCCCUUUAGCUACUACACUGCAUGUUGCAGGACAGUAAACAGGCGUUUUUUAGGAUUCAUCAGUUCUGAGAAGACCAUCUUUCAGACCCCCAGAGUAGCAUUUUCUUCCCAUGGGAAGAAAGAUAACACCCAACAUUCUAUUCCUCACAUUGAGGAUAGGAAUUGUUUUAUUCCUGACCUUCAUAUUAGUGGCACUAACAUUACUGGUCUGAGCUGCAGGACCAACAAAACCUUGAAUCUCUAUUUAUUGGAUUCAAAUCUUUUUUGGAUAUAUGCAGAGAGACUUGGAGCAUCAAGAUCUACUCAUCUUAAGGAAUUUGCUGCAAUUGUUGACCUGAAGGAAGAAGUGCACUAUGUCCUGGAUCAGAACCAGUCGCUUGUUGGAUCUACCCUUGAGAACUUCAUAAAAAAUUUCAGUAUUCUCUACAGUCCCUUGAAAAGGCAUCUUGUUGAUGACCCUUCCAUCCAUUUUCACGAGCAUCGUGUAAUCACUGAACUGACUGCUAAUACCUUUCAUGAUACUGUUUUUUUGAGUGAGAAGAAUGUCUUGCUGCUCUAUUAUGCACAGUGGUGUGGAUUCUGUGCUUCUCUUAAUCACAUCUUUAUUCAGCUUGCUCGUCUUUUGCCUCCAGAUAAUUUCACUGUGGCAAGAAUUGACAUCACCCGCAAUGACCUUCCAUGGGAAUUUAUGACAGACCGUCUCCCAACUAUUUUAUUUUUUCCUCAUCAGAGGAAGGAACAAAGUGUGAAGUUCCCUGAAGACUUUUCAGUUAACCUUCCAAAUCUCCUUAAAUUUAUUUUGCAUCACUCAAGUCUCUCUUCAUCAGAGUCCUGUACCAAAGAAUGCCUACAUAAAGAGAGAGCUCUACAGCAAGGACACAUCUCCCACUUAGAGAGAGAAAUUCAGAAGUUAAGGUCAGAAAUCAGUGCCCUUCAUCAGGCCCAUGACCAGCUUGAAGCACAGCUUUUUGAAGCUAGGAGAGAGGAACAUAGACUACAGCAGCAAAAACACACACUGGAAAAGCAGCACAAGACUCUGCAGCUCCACAGUGAGCAGUUACAGGCCACAUACGAGCAGAAGAACCGGGAAUUAUUAGAAAUGGCUGAAAAGCUUCAAGAAUUGGCUGAUGCAUCAGAAAACCUCCUAAAAGAAAAUACUUUACUGAGAAUCCUGGUGGCAUCAAGGGAAGGAAAGCUACAGAGCAAAGAUGAAAUGAAAGACUCCCUUCAGUCAGAGCAAACACUUUCUGAAGAUAACGAUGCAUCAGUUUCAACAGCUACUGCCACAUCAGAGGAAAAAAGGAUUGAUAAUAUUGAUACCACAGAGCACAGUAGUGGCAACAGGACAGAAUGAUUGCUUACACAAAGUCAAAUGAUACAGUAUUGGCUCUACCAAGACAGAAACUCAUGGAAGACUUCAGUAGAGACCAGAGCCAGUCCAGCCUAGGAACACAUCUUGACUGUCCUGCUGCAAGCAUCAGGUCAUACACUGGGCUCUUGUCAUUCCUGUUUCUUUUGGGAUCCUGAGGAGUACUGCUGGACCAGGAAGUGCACUGUUUGAGAAGGCCGUCACAGAAAGAGGACCCAAUACCGUGUCACCUACUUGCUCAUCAAGGCGAGUCUUAGAAGUUGUUCCGAGUUCUUCAGGCCUAUUCAAAAGCAACAUCUGGUGACAGAUGUCUACACCUGCCUUUGUGUCAGGAAGAGCACGAGACAGCACGGUACACUGCGACUGCUCAGAGGAAGGCACAGGAUGUAUUUUGAUCAACUCACGUUGCUGUUACAUCCCAGGACUGUCAACAUACUGGUCAGCUGAGACUUUUCCUGAAGCACGUACCCAACUCCUCGCACCAAGCUUGCGGGGCUGGGCGAGCGGGGACGAGCACCCCCAGCCCAGAGGAGCCGGCCCGGCCCGCGCCCUCCCGAGCUGCCGCCGAGCCGAGGCAUCGCCUUGUGACUGCAGCGCGGCGGCCGCGGCCGCGCCGGGAGAAGGGGCCCGAGCCCCCGGAGGACGGGGCACAGCCCCAAACACCCCUCGGGGCCGGCGAGAGGCCUGCGGGGCGACCAGCCCCUCGGGAGCGAGGCGGGGCCGAGGCGGAGCGCGGAUCCUCCCGCCGGGCCGCGCAGACACAAAGAGCGGCUCCGCCGCGGCGGCGCCGGGAAGGGGCGGCCCCGGCCCGGGGCGGCAGGGCAGCAGGGGCGGCCCCUUCGCUUCUCCUGGUGUCCCUGCCGCCCCCCAGGGCCCU